CUCAUCGUCGAUACACGAUAUGGAACCGGCAAGCCGUUGAUUUUACUUUUAAAUAGGACAGUCCCUAUUUUGGAUUUAGAAAUCCGCCGACCUCUACUGAUAAGAGUUGUCUUCGGUAGCAUAGUCUCGCUGCCACAUGGAGCCAUUGUAGGUGGUCGGCCCCAGUUUCCACCAUCAUCAUGGUUGGGAAGAAAAAAAAGAAAUGGGAAAGAACCCCUUAUUUUGAAGAAGAAGAAGAAAAGAAGAGAGGAGAGCAUUUCUCUCUCUUCUCUAAUUAUUUGAUUAUCAAUUAAUUGAUCAAUUAAUUAAUUAGUUAAUUAUUUAUUUAUUCUCUUUUUCUCUCUCUUAGAUGGAUUAGAAAAAUUUUAGAUGGAAAAUUUUAGGGACUUGUGUAUUUACUCUUAGAUGAAGCAAGGGAUCCAUGUGGAAAAAAAAUCCAAAGAUUUGUCAAUGGACCCAAUGAACCCCGAUACAGGGUUCUAGAUAGAUAAUCAUUACAUUAUGAAUUUUAUUUUAAUAUUAAUUUUGAAUUUGUAGGAGAAUAAUUUCUUGGAUAAGAGGAUAACAAGCAAGAUUUUUGACAUCUUAAUUGUAAAUCUAGUGAGUACAGGUUGACGAUAGUAGAGGUAAGAAUUUUUGGACAUUGGUCAUCUAUUUAUAUAAAAAUUAUUUUAUGCAUCAGUGAUUUUAAUUCAUAUAUUUUUAAUAGUGACAUAUUAUAUAUUUAAUUAUUAAGUAUAUAUUUAUGACUUAUAUGACUUUAUGUAUUACAUAUCAAUGAUCUUGAUUUGGAU
rnacentral:lncRNA from 1 species